UACGUAGGGGGCAAGCGUUGUCCGGAAUCAUUGGGCGUAAAGAGCGUGUAGGCGGCCCGGUAAGUCCGCCGUGAAAGUCCAGGGCUCAACCCUGGAAUGCCGGUGGAAACUGCCGGGCUGGAGUCCGGAAGAGGCGAGUGGAAUUCCUGGUGUAGCGGUGAAAUGCGCAGAUAUCAGGAGGAACACCAAUGGCGAAGGCAGCUCGCUGGGACGGUACUGACGCUGAGACGCGAAAGCGUGGGAGCAAACAGG
rnacentral:rRNA from 1 species